AACGCAAAUGGCGCUUCCUGGUCUUCGGGGAGCAUGCCUGUUUGAGAACCGUAAGAGCAAAUCACCCGAACUUUUGUUGUUCGGGUGGAGUUGGAUGUCACAGGCUGUGAGGAGAGGGGAUUGCUUUUCUCUCUCUUUCUCCCGGCUCGUGGUCCGCAAAGCUUCUUCCAUCGAUUCAGAUAGAAUGUGGGGCGGUGAGAGACACUUUUUGCGGUCUUUCCCCAAAGGCUAGGAUUAAAUAUGGCACUUGCCGUGCACAUAUAUACGACGGCCGACAUCAGGGGAAAGCUGCGAAGGGAGGGGUUUCUCUCACCGAGGAAAGGGGGGGUUUUUUCCCAUUUCUCCCCACAGAACCUGGUCUCAAAUCAGGCAAGAGAACCCGCUGAACUUAA
rnacentral:misc_RNA from 1 species